rnacentral:rRNA from 1 species
ACCGCUAUUAACGAUCAACUUUUCUUCCCAAUUGAAAGUGCUUUACAACCCUAAGGCCUUCUUCACACACGCGGCAUGGCUGCGUCAGGCUUUCGCCCAUUGCGCAAUAUUCCCC